GAUGAACGCUAGCGGCAGGCUUAAUACAUGCAAGUCGAGGGGUAGCAAGAUUGGAGCAAUACAAUUGUUGACGACCGGCAAACGGGUGCGGAACACGUACACAACCUUCCUACAAGUGGGGAAUAGCCCAGAGAAAUUUGGAUUAAUACCCCGUAACAUAGCGAUGUGGCAUCACAUUUCUAUUAUAGCUUCGGCGCUUGUUGAUGGGUGUGCGGCUGAUUAGAUAGUUGGCGGGGUAACGGCCCACCAAGUCUACGAUCAGUAGCCGAUGUGAGAGCAUGAUCAGCCACACGGGCACUGAGACACGGGCCCGACUCCUACGGGAGGCAGCAGUAAGGAAUAUUGGACAAUGGACGCAAGCCUGAUCCAGCCAUGCCGCGUGAAGGAUUAAGGUCCUCUGGAUUGUAACCUUCUUUUAUAAGGGACGAAAAAAGGUCUUUCUAGAUCGUCUGACGGUACCUUAUGAAUAAGCACCGGCUAACUCCGUGCCAGCCGCCGCUGUAACAC
rnacentral:rRNA from 1 species